AGUGAACGCUGGCGGCGUGCUUAACACAUGCAAGUCGAACGAGAACGGAUUAUAGCUUGCUAUAAUUGUCAGCUAAGUGGCGCACGGGUGAGUAAUAUAUAGAUAACCUGCCCUCUAGAAAGGAAUAACAGUUGGAAACGACUGCUAAUGCCCUAUAUGCCUUUAAUACAUAAGUAUGCAAGGGAAACGCUUUAGUGCUAGAGGAUGGGUCUGUAUGGUAUCAGCUUGUUGGUGAGGUAAUGGCUCACCAAGGCUAUGACGCCUAACUGGUUUGAGAGGAUGAUCAGUCACACUGGAACUGAGACACGGUCCAGACUCCUACGGGAGGCAGCAGUGGGGAAUAUUGCACAAUGGACGAAAGUCUGAUGCAGCAACGCCGCGUGGAGGAUGACACAUUUCGGUGCGUAAACUCCUUUUAUAUAGGAAGAUAAUGACGGUACUAUAUGAAUAAGCACCGGCUAACUCCGUGCCAGCAGCCGCCGCAGUAA
rnacentral:rRNA from 1 species